rnacentral:rRNA from 1 species
UUGGCGGACGGGGUGAGUAACGCGUGAGGAACCUGCCUCAGAGUGGGGGAUAACACACCGAAAGGUGUGCUAAUACCGCAUAACAUAUGGGAGGGGCAUCCCUUUCAUAUCAAAGAUUUAUUGCUCUGAGAUGGCCUCGCGUCCAAUUAGCUAGUUGGCGGGGUAACGGCCCACCAAGGCGACGAUUGGUAGCCGGACUGAGAGGUUGAACGGCCACAUUGGGACUGAGACACGGCCCAGACUCCUACGGAAGGCAGCAG